GACGAACGCUGGCGGUGUGCUUAACACAUGCAAGUCGAACGGAAAGGCCCUGCUUUUGUGGGGUGCUCGAGUGGCGAACGGGUGAGUAACACGUGAGUAACCUGCCCUUGACUUUGGGAUAACUUCAGGAAACUGGGGCUAAUACCGGAUAGGAGCUCCUGCUGCAUGGUGGGGGUUGGAAAGUUUCGGCGGUUGGGGGUGGACUCGCGGCUUAUCAGCUUGUUGGUGGGGUAGUUGCUUACCAAGGCUUUGACGGGUAGCCGGCCUGAGAGGGUGGCCGGCCACGUUGGGACUGAAGUACGGCCCGUACUCGUACGGGAGGGAGCAGUGGGGAAUAUUGCACAAUGGGCGGAAGCCUGAUGCAGCAGCGCCGCGUGCGAGAUGACGACCUUCGAGUUGUAGACCGCUUUCGCCUGUGGCGAAGGGUGAGUGACGGUAAUGUGUAAAGAAGCACCGGCUAACUACGUG
rnacentral:rRNA from 1 species